UACGUAGGGGGCAAGCGUUGUCCGGAAUUAUUGGGCGUAAAGGGCGCGUAGGCGGAUAGUUAAGUCCGGUGUGAAAGAUCAGGGCUCAACCCUGAGAGUGCAUCGGAAACUGGUUAUCUUGAGGACAGGAGAGGAAAGUGGAAUUCCACGUGUAGCGGUGAAAUGCGUAGAUAUGUGGAGGAACACCAGUGGCGAAGGCGACUUUCUGGACUGUAACUGACGCUGAGGCGCGAAAGCGUGGGGAGCAAACAG
rnacentral:rRNA from 1 species